AUUCAUCGGAGAGAGAAAUAGCCUGGCACGAGAAAGGAAUUAAAUAUCCUUUGAAAGGCAGUGAAAUUUUUAGAAUUUUGUUGUUUUUCAGACCUAUGAAAUCAAUGAAGUUUUCCUACGAAAAAGCUACCUGUGAACUCAAGUUGCUGAUGUGGGGAAAGUGCAGUGUGUGGAGAUUUGAAGUAAGAGAAAAUGGAAGAGAGACCCUUGGCAAGUUCAUAGGUCCCCAGAUGGAGCCAGUCUGUUCUUCGAUCAACAGUCUUGUCUUGCUACUAAGAUCAGGUCCAACUCUAGAUCUGGGAUCUACAGUCUCCCUGGCAACGUUUGAGCACACAGUCUAACAUUCAAGAGGAGAAAGUUGCUUUAACUCUCUACGUGUAUAAAGACACAUGUACAUGUAAAAGACAAUAAUGCAUACCUGACCCAAGGAAGGCAAACCAUCACAUAUUCCAGCUGACUCUCACCUGCUGCUCUAUCAAUUCCAGGCAGUUAUGCUACAUUGUAAUGAUUGAUUAGCUAUGCUAGUGAGUAUUUAAACAUGGAUGGAUCACUAAUAAAUAAAUUGUGAGUUAACAUAGGU